rnacentral:rRNA from 1 species
GGAUCAGUAGGUUGGUCGUGCCACCGGUACGUACUGGUCUCACUGAUUCCUCCUUCCUGAAGAACCGUAAUGCCAUUAAUUUGGUGUCGCGGGGAAACAGGACUGUUACUUUGAAAAAAUUAGAGUGUUUAAAGCAAGCUAACGCUUGAAUACAUUAGCAUGGAAUAAUGAAAUAGGACGAUCGAUCCUAUUUUGUUGGUUUCUAGGAUUGACGUA